rnacentral:rRNA from 1 species
UAAGGAAUAUUGGUCAAUGGACGCAAGUCUGAACCAGCCAUGCCGCGUGAAGGAUGAAGGUCCUCUGGAUUGUAAACUUCUUUUAUAUGGGACGAAACCCGGGAAUUCUUUCCCGAUUGACGGUACCAUAGGAAUAAGCACCGGCUAACUCCGUGCCAGCAGCCGCGGUAAUACGGAGGGUGCAAGCGUUAUCCGGAUUCACUGGGUUUAAAGGGUGCGUAGGAGGGUAGGUAAGUCAGUGGUGAAAUCCCCGAGCUUAACUUGGGAACUGCCGUUGAUACUAUCUAUCUUGAAUAUCGUGGAGGUGAGCGGAAUAUGUCAUGUAGCGGUGAAAUGCUUAGAUAUGACAUAGAACACCAAUUGCGAAGGCAGCUUGCUACACGAAUAUUGACUCUGAGGCACGAAAGCGUGGGGAUCAAACAGGAUUAGAUACCCUGGUAGUCCACGCCCUAAACGAUGGAUACUCGACAUACGCGAUACACAGUGUGUGUCUGAGCGAAAGCAUUAAGUAUCCCACCUGGGAAGUACGACCGCAAGGUUGA